rnacentral:rRNA from 1 species
CCUACGGGAUGCAGCAGUGGGGAAUUUUGCGCAAUGCUCGUAAGAGUGACGCAGCGACGCCGCGUGAAUGACGAAGGCCUUCGGGUCGUAAAGUUCUUUCGACAGGGAAGAAAAUGCCUAUAAGUAACUGUGUAUGUAUUGACGGUACCUGUAUAAGCAGCCCCGGCUAACUCCGUGCCAGCAGCCGCGGUAAUACGGAGGGGGCGAGCGUUGUUCGGAGGGACUGGGCGUAAAGAGCACGUAGGCGGUGUUGUAAGUCAUUAGUCAAAGACUAGAGCUAAACUUUAGUAAGGCUAGUGAUACUAUAAUACUAGAGUAUCAGAGAGGAUUGCAGAAUUCCUGGUGUAGCGGUGAAAUGCGUAGAUAUCAGGAGGAAUACCGUUAGCGAAGGCGGCAAUCUGGCUGGAAACUGACGCUGAGGUGCGAAAGCGUGGGUAGCAAACAGGAUUAGAUACCCCGGUAGUC